UACGUAGGGUGCAAGCGUUGUCCGGAAUUAUUGGGCGUAAAGAGCUCGUAGGCGGUCUGUCGCGUCGGCUGUGAAAACCCGGAGCUCAACUCCGGGCCUGCAGUCGAUACGGGCAAACUGGAGUGUUGCAGGGGAGACUGGAAUUCCUGGUGUAGCGGUGAAAUGCGCAGAUAUCAGGAGGAACACCGGUGGCGAAGGCGGGUCUCUGGGCAACAACUGACGCUGAGGAGCGAAAGCGUGGGGAGCGAACGGG
rnacentral:rRNA from 1 species